rnacentral:rRNA from 1 species
GAUGAACGCUAGCGGCAGGCUUAAUACAUGCAAGUCGAGGGGCAGCAUGACUGUAGCAAUACAGUUGAUGGCGACCGGCAAACGGGUGCGGAACACGUACAGAACCUUCGUUCGAGCGGGGAAUAGCCCAGAGAAAGUUGGAUUAAUACCGCAUAGUAUUACGGAGUGGCAUCACUUUGUAAUUAAAGAUUUAUCACUUGAAGAUGGCUGGGCGGCUGAUUAGGUAGUUGGCGGGGUAACGGCCCAGCAAGCCCACGAUCAGUAACUGGUGUGAGAGCACGACCAGUCACACGGGCACUGAGACACGGGCCCGACACCUACGGGAGGCAGCAGUAAGGAAUAUUGGUCAAUGGACGAAAGUCUGAACCAGCCAUGCCGCGUGGAGGAUGAAGGUCCUCUGGAUUGUAAACUUCUUUUAUCUGGGACGAAAAAAGGCUUUUCUAAGUCGUCUGACGGUACCAGAUGAAUAAGCACCGGCUAACUCCGUGCCAGCAGCCGCAGUAACAC